AUUGAACGCUGGCGGCAUGCCUUACACAUGCAAGUCGAACGGCAGCAUGGAGAGCUUGCUCUCUGAUGGCGAGUGGCGAACGGGUGAGUAAUGCAUCGGAACGUACCGUGUAAUGGGGGAUAACGUAGCGAACGUUACGCUAAUACCGCAUACGACCUGAGGGGGAAAGCAGGGGAUCGCAAGACCUUGCGUUAUACGAGCGGCCGAUGUCAGAUUAGCUUGUUGGUGAGGUAAAGGCUCACCAAGGCGACGAUCUGUAGCGGGUCUGAGAGGAUGAUCCGCCACACUGGGACUGAGACACGGCCCAGACUCCUACGGGAGGCAGCAGUGGGGAAUUUUGGACAAUGGGGGCAACCCUGAUCCAGCCAUGCCGCGUGAGUGUAGAAGGCCUUCGGGUUGUAAAGCUCUUUCGGCCGGGAAGAAAUCGCACAGGCUAAUACUCUGUGUGGAUGACGGUACCGGCAUAAGAAGCACCGGCUAACUACGUGCCAGCCGCCGCCGUAA
rnacentral:rRNA from 1 species